GCAAGUCGAACGCGACUCUAUUCUUCGGGAUAGAUGAAAGUGGCGCACGGGUGCGUAACGCGUAUGCAACCUACCCUUAACUGGGGGAUAGCCCGGAGAAAUUCGGAUUAAUACCCCAUAGUAUUACAGAUUGGCAUCAUGAAGUAAUUAAAGAUUUAUUGGUUAAGGAUGGGCAUGCGUGACAUUAGCUAGUUGGUAAGGUAAUGGCUUACCAAGGCAACGAUGUCUAGGGGUUCUGAGAGGAUGAUC
rnacentral:rRNA from 1 species